AUUUUGUUUCUCAACAUUAAUGCAUCAAAUCUCAUCAUAACUCUGAAGUUAAGCGUGCUUGGGUGAGAGUAGUACUACGAUGGGCGACCCCCCGGGAAGUCCUUGUGUUGCACCU
rnacentral:rRNA from 1 species